CUAUUUCUUGGGCCGCUCCCGCGGCAUAUGGAGGUUCCCAGGCUAGGGGUCUAAUUGGAGCUGUAGCUGCAGGCCUACACCAGAGCCACAGCAACACGGGAUCCAAGCCGCACCUGCAACCUACACCACAGCUCACGGCAACGCCAGAUCGUUAACCCACUGAGCAAGGGCAGGGAUGGAACCCGCAACCUCGUGAUUCCUAGUCGGAUUCGUUAACCACUGCGCCAUGAUGGGAACUCCGAUUAGUAUAUAUUAUUUUCUGUGAAUAAAUCUCAAAUAUAGUAAACAGCCCCAAAUACUGUGUGUCAUGUGGAAGAAUAUUUGGAUAUUUAGCACUAUCUGACCUAAAUAUUCUCAAGCAGACACCCUGGUGUCAUGGAGCUACGGGUUGUGAAUCCAUCAUUCCAAAUGCUCUUGGAAGCUCUUUCGGAGGGCUGGAAAAUCUUUAUUAAGUAUGUAAUCAAUAGGUCCUAUGGCAGUGUUGUUAGAAUCAAAAACUUCAGAACCAAACUGUUUUUGAGUUUAUGCCUUGAAACUACCACUAUAUAUAUAAAUUAAGCAACUUUCCUGUAUUUCUAAGUUUCUUUUGUAAAAUGGGGCUAAUAGUAUCAUCUAAAGGGUUAAUAUACUUAAAACAUUUAAAGAGUGCCUGGCAAAUGAUAAAUGUUUCAUAAGAGUUAGCUAUGAUCAUUUUCAUUAUUAUCUAUUCCUAAUAACUAAAUAUUAAUUUGAAAACAAUGAACAGAAAGCAGUAGUUUGUAAGUAAUGUUCUGAGAUUAGCUGAAUAAUUAGGAAUUUUACAAUGAUGUUUCUUUAUUAUGUUUAUUUUUUAAAAAAUCGAUGAGUAUGAUUGAGUUAUUUUACUAGGGCUGCUGCAACAAAGUACCACAAACUGGGUGGCUUGAACAACAAAAAUAUAUCAUCUCAUAGUUCUGGAAGCUAGGGUUCCAAGAUCAAGGUGUCAGCAGGGUUGGUUUUCAGGACCGUGGGGAAUAAUCUGCUCCAUGCUUUUCAACCAUCUUCUGGAGGUUUGUUGGCACUCUUUGGCAAUUCUCGGCUUGUAGAAGCAUCAUCCUUAUGUCUGCCUUUAUCUUAGCAUGAGGUUCUCCCUGUGUGUGUGUCUAUCUCCAGGUUUCCCCCUUUACAAGGGAAUAAUCUCCAAAUAGGGUUACAUUCUGCAUUACUCUGGGUUAGGAUUAAACAUGCAAAUUCUUAGGGGGCGAAACUGAACUGCUGACAACUAUGCAUUUGUACAAUGCUAUUUUCUUGCUAUGACAAUUAUACCGCCUUAUUUUUCCAAUAUGAAUAUUCCGUAUUAGUUUGUUAUUCAUAGACUGCUUAUCCAACUUGAAAAUAUCUUCUUUUUUUGCAUUAGGAUUAUUUGCUAUUUUGAUACUUAUUAAAACUUCAACAAUAAAGUAAAAUAGACGAAAAUCAAUCCCUCUUAGGGUCAUUUGAUUCUUUGGUAAAUUGUUUGAAAUUGCUAGUAAAAACUGAAUUUGAAAAUCAUGUUUAAAUUCAAUUAUUUAUGCCGGUAUGGUUCCCACAUUAUCAAUAAUCCAAUCUUGAUUUAAAUUAGUAAAUAUUUAUUCAAGUUCAUCAGAUAUUUUUAAAUUAAGCAACAACUCUUUUGUGCACAAAAAUCAUUUGAAACUUGACAUUUUAAAGCAAAGUUUGGUUUAUCCUUCUAUUAGUCAGUGUUGUCAACAGGAUGUGUGAUAAAUAGAGAGAUUUAUUUCUAAAGACUUGGCUCACACAAAUGUGAGUAUGGGGCUGUCAAAUACAAAAUCUUCAGGGAAGAACAACAUUCUGAAGACCCAGGGAAGCAUUGAUAUUGGAGUUGUAGGUCUGAAAGCAGAAUUUCCUCUUCUUUGGAGAACCUCAGUCUUUGUCUCUUAAGAACUUCAACUGAUUAGAGGAGGCCCACCACAUGAUGAUAUUCUGUUCUAUUUAAAGUCUUUGAUUUACAUGUUAAUCUCAUCGAAAAAAAUACCUUCAGGGAGUUUCUGUUGUGGUGCAGCAGAAACGAAUCUGACUAGUAUCCAUGAGGUGUUGUGGUUUGAUCCCUGGCUUCAUUCAGGGGGUUAAGGAUCCAGCAUUGCCAUGAGCUGUGGUGUAGGUCACAGACGUGGCUUGGAUCUGGCGUGGCUGUGGAUGUGGCAUAAGCCUGCAACUGGAGCUCCGACUGGACCCCAGGCUGGGAACUUCCAUAUGCCGCUGGUGCAGCCCUAAAAAAAAAAAAAAGCAAAAAAAUAAAAGUAAAAAAUAAAAAAUAAAAACCCUUCAUAGUAGUAUCUAGAUUGACCAGUGUUUGGCCAAAAACUGGGUACCAUGGCCUGGCCAUGCUGAUAUAUAAAAUUAACCAUCACAAUCCUGUCUUAUUAAAUUCUGAUAAGACUCAUGCCCUGAUUCAUAAAAACAAGGGUGAAAGCAUUGCUGUCACAGUUAAUAAUUGAUCCACCAAAAACAUCCAUAUCUAGAUUUGAUAUUAUCCCCCUCAAAUAGAAAAAAAAAUUGUAA
rnacentral:lncRNA from 1 species